GGAACCUGUCAGUCGAAGACAACCUGCCUUUGUAGGACCACUGAUUCCUCAAUAUGGACCCCAGACUAUGGGAGGAGGAGUGUCUGCAAGUACAGGAGGAGAACCUGUCAGUCGAAGACAACCUGCCUUUGUAGGACCACUGAUUCCUCAAUAUGGACCCCAGACUAUGGGAGGAGGAGUGUCUGCAAGUACAGGAGGAGAACCUGCCAGUAGAAAACCACCUGCCAUCGUAGGACAACUCAUUCCUCAAUAUGGACCCCAGACUUGGGGAGGACUAUUUGCAAGAACAGGAAG